rnacentral:rRNA from 1 species
GCCGCCGCUGAGGUGAUGAAGGCCUUCGGGUUGUAAAGCUCUUUUGCCGGGGACGAUAAGGAUAAUGACGGUACCGGAAGAAUAAGCCCCGGCUAACUCCGUGCCAGCAGCCGCGGUAAUACGGAGGGUGCAAGCGUUAUNUCGGAAUUACUGGGCGUAAAGCGCGCGUAGGCGGUUUUGUAAGUCAGAGGUGAAAUCCCCGGGCUCAACCCGGGAACUGCCUUUGAUACUGCCUAGCUAGAGUCCGGGAGAGGUUAGUGGAAUUCCCAGUGUAGCGGUGAAAUUCGUAGAUAUCCGGAGGAACACCA